rnacentral:rRNA from 1 species
GAUGAACGCUGGCGGCGUGCCUAAUACAUGCAAGUCGAGCGAACAGACGAGGAGCUUGCUCCUCUGACGUUAGCGGCGGACGGGUGAGUAACACGUGGAUAACCUACCUAUAAGACUGGGAUCACUUCGGGAAACCGGAGCUUAUACCGGAUAAUCUAUUGCACCGCAUGGUUCAAUAGUGAAAGACGGUUUUGCUGUCGGUGGUCGAUGGAUCCGCGCCGCAUUAGCUAGUUGGUACGGUAACGGCUUACCAAGGCAACGAUGGGUAGCCGACCUGAGAGGGUGAACGGGCACAGUGGGACUGAGAGAGGGACAAGACGGCAACGGGCGGAAGGAGGGGGGAAUAUGGCAGAAUGGGCGGAAGUGUGAGGUAGAGACGUCGGGUGCGUGAUGCCGGUUUUUGGGGGGUAAACAGAUUUCGAAUGAAACGAAGCGUGAGUGAGGGUACUGGGUAAAAAAGCACCGGCUAACUACGUG